rnacentral:rRNA from 1 species
GAUGAACGCUGGCGGCGUGCCUAAUACAUGCAAGUCGAGCGAACAGACGAGGAGCUUGCUCCUCUGACGUUAGCGGCGGACGGGUGAGUAACACGUGGAUAACCUACCUAUAAGACUGGGAUAACUUCGGGAAACCGGAGCUAAUACCGGAUAAUAUAUUGAACCGCAUGGUUCAAUAGUGAAAGACGGUUUUGCUGUCACUUAUAGAUGGAUCCGCGCCGCAUUAGCUAGUUGGUAAGGUAACGGCUUACCAAGGCGACGAUGCGUAGCCGACCUGAGAGGGUGAUCGGCCACACUGGAACUGAGACACGGUCCAGACUCCUACGGGAGGCAGCAGUAGGGAAUCUUCGGCAAUGGGCGAAAGCCUGACGGAGCAACGCCGCGUGAGUGAUGAAGGUCUUCGGAUCGUAAAACUCUGUUAUUAGGGAAGAACAAAUGUGUAAGUAACUAUGCACGUCUUGACGGUACCUAAUCAGAAAGCCACGGCUAACUACGUG